UGAGAAUAUAGGAAAGGUAGAAGAGUGGGGUCAUCAGGACAUAAGCUGCUAUUACCAGUUAGCCCCGAUGUACUAUCUCUGUCCCAAAGGGGUCCUUCCAGAAUCUGUUAAUUAGGAGUGUGUAGUGCUGGAGAAGGAGGUAUACUAUUUUCGAUAAGUGCAUAAUGGACCGCACCUAUCCUAUGUUACGUGGGGCGCAAUGCCAAAUAUUUAGACCAAGUUUUAGUGCCUCUUAGAAAAAGAAGUGGCCGGCAGGCCAGCUUGGCAGUAUGCUGUCGUUGUCUCGUGUUACAACAGUAUGAUGUGUCAACUAAAUGAUUUGCAGCGUGGAGCGUUGGGGUCGCUCCAUUUUCCAUAACCAGUAGAACUAAAGGAGAGAGAGACUAUAAGAGACAGAGAUAGAGGGAAGGCAGUAGGUUAGGGUCACCAGAGCGCCGGGUGUCGGGGCCAGUCCACCCAGGGUUUUCGUCUCAGUCCCAGAGGAACUCCUCUAGGGUUGGUCCAGUAUGGGUGCAUAGUGCUCGCCCUGUUCUAUUAUUGAGCGGUUUCUCCAGUCAAGUCGCUAGUGGUCCAUGGCUCCCAUGUUUUCUCGAACUGUGAGACAGUUCCUCGGACUUAAGCCGUUAAGCUAUCCAUAAGGUGUAUGUCUUUUAUAUUAUGAAUAACUGCACUCGGGGGAGGUGUUUCUACCUUCAACCAUGCUUGCGCCAGAGCUCUCCGUGCUGCCAGCGUCACCUUAUGUAGGAGUUUUUGCUCUCUACGUGUCCAAUUAUCUAAGGGUCUAUUGAGGAGAAAUGUCCAUGGGUUCAGGUCUGGUGCUCUGUGGAAAAUGCGUUUUAUGAGAGUCUGGGUCUCCCUCCAGAAGCCUUGGAGCCGGGGACAUUCCCACCACAUGUGGAGGUAUGUACCUUUCAGGCCACACCCCCUCCAGCAGUCGUUCGACGGGGUUUUCCCCAUUCGGUGCAAUGUUACUGGCAUGACAUACCACCUGAGGAGCGUUUUAGUUGCCUGUUCCUGGAGGGAGACACACAUGGACACUGAGGCGUUGGCCUCCCAAAUUUCCCUCCAGUCUGUGCCCUCGAGUUCCUCUCCCAAUUCCCUUUCCCAUGCUUCAGUGUAGGUGAGCGUGCCCCAUUCUUUUGUUUCAGAGCUAAGAUGUGCAUAUAGUUUUGAUAUCAAACCUGGUUGUGUCGUUUCGCGGAGGCACAUGUUUUCAAAGAAGGACAUGUGCCCUCUGGCUGCGUUUUGUAAGUAUGGAUCUUUCAUGUAGUCCCUAAGUUGUAAGAAUCUAAAGAAGUCCGCGGGGGUGAGGUGUGUAGUCUGUUGUAGGUCGUUAAAUGUGACUGGCGUAUUGUCCCUAUACAUGUGGCAGAUCCUCUGUAGGCCUGCAGUUUCUAGGUUGGCAAAAUCCCUGGCCACCAUACCCGGAGGGAAGGCUCUAUUUCUGAGCAGAGGGAUCAGUGGUGACGGAUUGGAGAUUAAAUUGUAUUUGUUUGCUGUGGCGUCCCAUAUCCUCAGGGAGUUUAAAAUCGCUGGGCAGGUCAUUCGUAGCAUAAUUCUAUGUUCUCGUGGGACCCAUAUGUGAUAUUGGGGUAAAUCCGCUCCCGUGAGUAGGGACUCCAAGUCCACCCAUCUCCUCACAUCUAACGGGGCAUGCCACAUCGCUAUCUGUGCAAGUUAGGCUGCAAGAUAAUAAUAAUAUAAUUGUGGGAGGCCCAGUCCCCCCCUUUGUUUAUGUCGAAAUAGGAUGUUUCUCGAAAUCCUAUGUCUCUUGUUUUGCCAAAUGAAUUUCCCAAUUGCUUGUUGUAGUGGGGAUAGGUCAGCUUUACUGAGUUUGAUAGGGAGGGCUUGGAAAAGAAAUAGUAUUCGGGGAAGAAUAUUCAUUUUUACUGCAUUUAUGCGACCUAUCCAGGAGAUAGGCUUGUCUAUCCAUUUUUCCAUGUCUGAUAUAAGUGUCUUAAAGAGGGGGGGUAUAGUUUAAGUGGUAAAUAUUAGCUGGGUUGUCUGGCAAGUGUAUUCCUAGAUAUUUAAUGUAGCCGCGUGCUAUGGGGAUGUUGUGUGCUGCUCGUAUUGCCUCCGUGUCCGCCGCCGACACUCCCACUGGGAGAGCGCUAGAUUUGUCGAGAUUGGCUCUGUACCCCGAGAAGGCUCCAUAUUGUGUAAGAACCUCAGCUACUGCAUCCAUUGAUUCCAUUGGCUCUGUUAUUGUAAGGAGGACAUCAUCUGCAUAUGCAGAUACUAAAAAUUCUUGGCCUCCCACCCUAACACCUUUUAUCCGUGGAUGUUCCCUUAUGGCCUGUAGUAAGGGCUCUAAUGAUAUUGCAAACAACAAGGGGGAAAGAGGACAGCCCUGGCGAGUGCCGUUUCCCAAUCUAAAGGGUUGGGGCCACGUGCCUGCGAUUUUAACUUGGGCUGUUGCGUUGCUAUACAUCGCUUUUAUGGAAGAUAUGUAUUUCGUCGGGAAGCCUAGAAAUGAUAAGAGAUUAAAAAGAUAGGGCCAUUCUACUCUAUCAAACGCUUUUUCAGCGUCUAUGGAUACUACUAGGGUGGGGAUCCUGGCCGUUUUCUGUCUCCAUAUAAUGUCUAUGUUUCUCCUGGUAUUUUCAAAGAGUUGACGAUUUGGUAUGAACCCUACCUGGUCUGCAUGUAUCAGUGUUUUCAGGAUGGGAUUGAGGCGGUCCGCUAGUAUUUUUGCCAAGAUCUUGACGUCUUGAUUAAUAAGGGAAAUGGGCCUGUAGCUCGCCGGUAUCGUCGGGUCCUUGCCCGGUUUGGGGAUAAGGAUUAUGUUAGCUAGGGACAUCUCGUUCUCUGGGUUCCCACCUGACAUAAGAUUAUUAAAUAGUCCCGUGAGGUGGGGAGUUAGCUCUUCCUGAAACGUCUUAUAAUAUCCUCCGUCUAAGCCAUCGGGGCCCGGGGCUUUGUGGCUCUUUAAGCUUGCUAUGGCUCUGUCAAUUUCUUCGCUGGUUAUGUCUUCGUCUAGCCUGUGGAUCGCGUCUGCCGAUAGCUUCGGUAGUUGAAUAUUCUGCAGAAAUGUAUCCAUUUUAUCAUUCACCUCUUGUACUUGAUCUACAUUUUUGGGUGUGUGGUUGUAUAGUGCUCUAUAGUAUUCCGUGAAUAUCUGGGCAAUACCCGCCGGUGUAUUCUUGAUGGUGCCGUCUGUUUGCUUCAUUGCUCCGAUAUGAGUUCGUCUCUGACUAGGCUUUAGUACCCUUGCUAAUAGGGUGUCGUUUUUGUUAGCUUUUUCGUAAAAGUUUCUCUUGGACCAUAUGAGAUCUCGGGCGGCGUCGUCCAGCAACAGUUCAGAAAUUGAUCUCCUUAUAUCCUUCAGGUCGGCGGUUAAGCGGGGAGUUGGUGUCGCUUUGUGUUUCUGCUCCGCUUGUCGAAGCGUCUCCAGUAGUUGGUUCAAUUGCCGCAUUUUCUGCUUUUUCUUUUGGGUAGCCAGACGAAUACAUGUGCCCCUAAUCACUGCCUUAUGUGCGGCCCAUACUGUGCUAGGUGUGACCUCUUCCGUCGUAUUUUCCGCGAAGUAUAAUCGUAUAUCUUGUCUAAUUGUCUUUUGUGUUUGCCGGUCACGGAGUAGGCUGGAGCUUAGUUUCCAAUUCCAGGGCGAGGCCAUGCAUAGGUUCCCCAGCGUCACCGUGACCUCCGCAUGGUCUGACCACGUGAUCGACCCGAUGGUCGAGUCCGUCACUCUGGCCAUGCCCGCAUCGUUUACCAAGAAGAAAUCGAUUCUUGAGUAUGUUCCAUGCGGGGCCGAAUAGAAUGUAUAGUCUACUGCGUCAGGGUGCUGCGCCCUCCAGACGUCCAGGAGGCCAGUUGAUUUAAUAAAUUCAUAUAGAGCCCUGUCUUGUCGUCCUCUGCCAUGGGAUCUCAGCUGACCCGCUCUGGAGCUCCUGUCGGCAGCUGGACACGGUACAGCAUUAAAGUCACCCCCCAUGAAUAUUAUGCCCUGCGGUAGGGCAUGUAGUUUAGUUUGUAAUUCCUUCCAGAACGCAAUGUCUGGGGUGUUUGGGGCAUAAAUGUUUAUCAUGUGUAUCGUGUGCGAAUGUAUGGAGCCCGUCAGAAUAAUGUACCUCCCCUCCGGGUCUGCGUGUACCUUGGAAACGUGAAUGGGGCACGUGUUACGUAUCAGUAUAGCCACCCCAUUCCUCUUUUGUAGGGACCUAGCUUCGUGCGUAGUAGUGUAGGUGCGAUCACUUACUUUAAUGGUCGCGUGUCUCGCCAUGUGUUGUCAGGGUAUUUAUAUCGGCAGACAUCUUGUGCUAUGAUAGAAACUAAAAGUGUAUAUUCUGAGUCACUCUGAACAGACCAGACUCCAUUUUGUUAUUUUCAAGUUAACAAAAAAAGACACAAGAUUUCUUUCUGUAAAACUAGCCACUAUCCCGGAGCUAAAGGAAUGUAUACUAUAAACAAACCAAGUGAUAAGCAGAAACGGGGGUUGGAUAGACUGUCUAAAAUGCUAAUGGAAUAUAAUCAAAUCUAAACCCAGACAAUUGUGACAGAGAAGAUUAAAUAAUUUAAUUUUACUGUCUAUAUAUAUAUAAGGCACCAUUGUAUGGAAAAGGGUAAACUUAGUUCAUGAUCUGCCAUAUCAGAAAUUAUGGCAGGAAUUGCAGACGCUAAGUCUGGACAAAAUUUAAGAAACCCUUUGAAAUUUUUAAUUAUGGCACUAUAAAGAUAACGCAACAUGACGUCAAAAUAGCCACCAGGAAAAGUUAACUCUUUCCUGGAUAGGUAUGUUUAGUGGGACAAGACUGCCCUCUAUAGAUCAAAUAACUAAAUUGCGAUCUGGAAGAUAACCACACCUCUAGUGCUUCUAUUGGGUUAUCAACUGAUGACGUACAGAGAGUAACUUUAAAAGUUAGGACAAAGGGCAGGGUAUGCAAGAGAUGCAAAGGAGAAAGAAAAAGAGGAGAGAGGAAUUGGAAGUUUGGGGAUUCCAACUCGGACAACAUCUGAGACUAACACUCUACUCCUAAAACUCUAACACUUAGAAUUUACUGACUUUCUAACCAACACCUCCAUGCAGAGAGACAUCCAAAUAAGUUCCUGAGACUACCAAUCGGAUGAAAUAUCUACU